rnacentral:rRNA from 1 species
CCUACGGGGCGCAGCAGUCGAGAAUCAUUCACAAUGGGGGAAACCCUGAUGGUGCGACGCCGCGUGGGGGAAUGAAGGUCUUCGGAUUGUAAACCCCUGUCAUGUGGGAGCAAAUUAAAAAGAUAGUACCACAAGAGGAAGAGACGGCUAACUCUGUGCCAGCAGCCGCGGUAAUACAGAGGUCUCAAGCGUUGUUCGGAAUCACUGGGCGUAAAGUGUGCGUAGGCUGUUUCGUAAGUCGUGUGUGAAAGGCGCGGGCUCAACCCGCGGACGGCACAUGAUACUGCGAGACUAGAGUAAUGGAGGGGGAACCGGAAUUCUCGGUGUAGCAGUGAAAUGCGUAGAUAUCGAGAGGAACACUCGUGGCGAAGGCGGGUUCCUGGACAUUAACUGACGCUGAGGCACGAAGGCCAGGGGAGCGAAAGGGAUUAGAUACCCUAGUAGUC